GUGAGGAAUAUUGGUCAAUGGGCGGAAGCCUGAACCAGCCAUGCCGCGUGCAGGACGACGGCCCUACGGGUUGUAAACUGCUUUUGCCCGGGAAUAACCCCCCGCUCUUGCGCGGGGCUGAACGUACCGGGAGAAUAAGGAUCGGCUAACUCCGUGCCAGCAGCCGCGGUAAUACGGAGGAUCCGAGCGUUAUCCGGAUUUAUUGGGUUUAAAGGGUGCGUAGGCGGCCCGUUAAGUCAGGGGUGAAAUACGGCAGCUCAACUGUCGCAGUGCCCUAGAUACUGACGGGCUUGAAGACCGGUGAAGGCGGCGGAAUGCGACAAGUAGCGGUGAAAUGCAUAGAUAUGUCUCAGAACCCCGAUUGCGAAGGCAGCUGCCUAACCGGCGAUUGACGCUGAUGCACGAAAGCGUGGGGAUCGAACAGGAUUAGAAACCCCAGUAGUCC
rnacentral:rRNA from 1 species